rnacentral:rRNA from 1 species
UACGUAGGGUCCGAGCGUUGUCCGGAAUCAUUGGGCGUAAAGCGCGCGUAGGCGGCCCGGUAAGUCCGCUGUGAAAGUCAAAGGCUCAACCUUUGAAUGUCAGCGGAUACUGCCGGGCUAGAGUCCGGAAGAGGCGAGUGGAAUUCCUGGUGUAGCGGUGGAAUGCGCAGAUAUCAGGAGGAACACCAACGGCGAAGGCAGCUCGCUGGGACGGUACUGACGCUGAGGCGCGAAAGCGUGGGGAGCGAACAGG